CUCGAUCUUCGGCCCAUAUAUUGAAGACUUAUUGUGCGGGCCCGAUUCCUGACCCACUACCAGGCCUACCACACCUCCUCGUGCUGUGGCCGGGUCUGCAUCCCGGGCUCAGCUCCUAGCCCGUUUAAGAGAGAGCCUAGCCACCUCUAUCAUGUAGUGGUCCUUUGGGCUUGGGCUUUCCAAUAGGCCCACCUCCAUAGCAUCCGAACUUGGGCCCAACUUUGUCAGCACAUUAAACCCAGAUCCGAACUCGCCCACCUUGCCUUAGUUAGCAUCUGAGUCAUCCCUAGCUUUCACCGACGAUUAUCGUCGGGCAACCUUGGUCAGCUUUUGCUAAUCGUUGGAGUUCGAUGGUGAUUUCGAUGAGCUCUCCAUUUGUCGAGGAGAAUUGGGACGAGAUGGAGAGGAGCUGGAGGCCGAGAAAUCGGGGUUGGAGUUUGCC
rnacentral:lncRNA from 1 species